rnacentral:rRNA from 1 species
UGAGUUUGAUCCUGGCUCAGAUUGAACGCCGGCGGCAGGCCUAACACAUGCAAGUCGAGCGGAAACGGCAGUAUUGAAGCUUCGGUGGAUUUACUGGACGUCGAGCGGCGGACGGGUGAGUAACGGCUGGGAACCUGCCCUGACGAGGGGGAUAACCGUUGGAAACGACGGCUAAUACCGCAUAAUGUCCUACGGACCAAAGGUGGCCUCUACAUGUAAGCUAUCGCGUUGGGAUGGGCCCAGUUAGGAUUAGCUAGUUGGUAAGGUAAUGGCUUACCAAGGCGACGAUCCUUAGCUGGUUUGAGAGGAUGAUCAGCCACACUGGGACUGAGACACGGCCCAGACUCCUACGGGAGGCAGCAGUGGGGAAUAUUCCACAAUGGGGGAGACCCUGAUGCAGCCAUGCGGCGUGUGUGAAGAAGGCCUUCGGGUUGUAAANCACUUUCAGCAGUGAGGAAGGUGGUGUACUUAAUACNUGCAUGGCUUGACGUUAGCUGCAG